rnacentral:misc_RNA from 1 species
GAAAUGCGAUAGUAAUGUGAAUUGCAGAAUUCAGUGAAUCAUCGAAUCUUUGAACGCACCUUGCGCUCCUUGGUAUUCCUUGGAGCAUGCCUGUUUGAGUAUCAUGAAAUCUUCAAAGUAAAUCUUUUGUUAACUCAAUUGGUUUCUACUUUGGUAUUGGAGGUCUUUGCAGCUUCACACCUGCUCCUCUUUGUUCAUUAGCUGGAUCUCUGUGUUAUGCUUGGUUCCACUCGGCGUGAUAAGUUAUCUAUCGCUGAGGACACUGUAAAAGGUGGCCAAGGUAAAUGCAGAUGAACCGCUUCUAAUAGUCCAUUGACUUGGACAAUACUUUUAUGAUCUGAUCUCAAAUCAGGUAGGACUACCCGCUGAACUUAAGC